GACGAACCGUGCGAACGUUAUUCGGAAUCACUGGGCUUAAAGGGUGCGUAGGCGGGUUGCCAAGUCUGUGGUGAAAUCCUCCGGCUUAACCGGAGAACUGCCGUGGAUACUGGCGACCUCGAGUGGGGUAGGGGCUUGCGGAACUGUGCGUGGAGCGGUGAAAUGCGUUGAUAUGCACAGGAACUCCGGUGGCGAAGGCGGCGAGCUGGACCCUAACUGACGCUGAGGCACGAAAGCCAGGGGAGCGAACGGG
rnacentral:rRNA from 1 species